ensembl:lncRNA
AAAGAAUUUUAAAACAUGUUUGACUCAAAGAUGAAUUUAAAGUGAGUUAAUUAUAAUAUUGGAACACUUAAGGUUAGCGUAAAAUAGUUUAUAUAUAUCCCCCGCCCCCUUUGGGAUAUUUUACUUCCACCAUCGAAUCUUCAGCUGUUAGAAUUUCACUUAAAAGUGAAUAACUGCCAUACAUGUUUUCUUGGCAUCUUUAUUUACAGAAAUAACAUACAGCAUCUAAGGCAAAUUCUGUUCCUCUUAAUGUGUAUGACAUCAUUUAUAUGUAUCAAUAAUAGCCACCAGUUGAUUAGGUCAGCCUGAUAAACUACUGGAUUACUGUCCAAGAUAAAAAGGUAACCCCAAGUAUUGCAAAAUUUCCCUCAAUUUCAUUGUAUAACAUUGAAGAAAUAUUGUUACCAGCUAAGAUGAUAAAUUGGAAAGCAGUCCUGUUAAGGUGAAAAGGGUCCUUGGUGAUGAGUCAUUUUUUUCAAAAAAGAAAAAAAUCAUGUGAAAAGGAAUAGUGGUUCCUCUUGAUGUAUAGUAUGCCUGUAUUAUAGUUUUUACAAAAUUGUGAUCUUGUGUAAUAGUAUAAUAGGAGAUAUUGUUGAAUUUCUAACUGUUUAUACAUUUAAAUUCAUAUAUGUAAUGUUUGUUUUAUCAAUUACAAUCUGAAUUUCUAAGAAGCAUGUUGACUUUUGCAAUAAAGAUGCAAUAUGGAAUGGUUCACAAUUGGAAAAAAAAAGAAAAAAAGAUGAAAGUAAUACAAAUUUAAAAGAAUUUGGAAAAUUUAUGAACCAUUCCAAAAAUUAUAACAAUCACCAAAAGAGCUGUAAUUCUGGCUUGUUCUGGAAAGAAAGAAAAUGUGUGUGUAUGCUUGCUUGUGAGAGUGGGUGAGUAGUGGCCAUGUAUGUGUGUUUUAUGUUGUGUUCAUAAACGAGAGAAUGUCAUUCAAUAUGAAGUUGGGUUUGAAGUCACUGGCUAUUAAAUAUUAAGUAGGAUAACUUUCUCAACAGUAACCUGGAGAAUGAAAGAGAAGGUAUUAAAAUGCUACUUGUAAGUAACCUUUGAUAGCCACAUUAUUUUGUUCAUGGAUGGUUCUUAGGUAUCCCAGAUAAAAAGCACAAAACAGUUUCAUGAAAGCAAUUAUUUUAAUGUUGUCUUGAGGAUAUUCAUUAUGCCUGCCAAUUGUAGGAGGGACAUUUUCCUUAAGUAGAAUAGGAGAAGGGAAAAAACACCUACAAGAGAUGAUUUAAAGAUAAAUCAGUUCUGAAUGUGACGAAGAUUUGUAAGGGACAAACAGGAGUAGGUAGUGAUCUUAUGUACUAAGGACUGGGUGGUGAUGAGAAAGAGAAGGGAAGUGUAUCACUUUGUUUUACCAUUUAAAAAAAUGCUAUUAUAAAAUUCCCCUUCCAAUGAUUAUGCAUUGUUUAAGAAGGAGCAUUCUUUAAAUUUCAGCUUAUACAAGAAAAUACUCAAAGAACGAGAGUAAAGUUUAUUUUCAUUCUUUUCAAAUAAAAUUUAUUUUAUAUAUUAUGUAAAUAGCAGAUAAGCUGUUUGUCACCAUUGCUUUGAAUAGAUCAUAAUUAAUCCUAAAUAUAUUUACAAUAAACAUUAGUUUUGGGACUUUUUUGGAGGGAGGAGGCAUAAUUCUGAACAUAGUUACAUCUAUUGAACAAAUCAAAUGUUUUACUAAAACAGAGCUUUCAUUAACAGAAAUUAAUGAUUUUAUGUGAUAUUUUUACUGAUUUUGAAGUAAAUUGUACUAAAGCCAAAGAUAAAUUUUGAAUCAUAAGCCCCAGCAUACAAUCAAAUCUGGAUCUAGAUAUGUUACUGUAAACAUAGAUACAAUUGUGUUUAUCAACAUGUGGGGAUAUUGGAUGAUUGGGUUGCUUUAGACUAAAUGGACCAACAUUACCUUGCUGUGUAGAGCUGCUCAUUUUAUGUUCAUUUUUAGUCUCAAAGACCUAAUUUGAAAGACCAACCAAAACUGACCCAGAAAAGAAAAAAAAAAAAAAAAGGCAAUCUACUGCUACUGCUUGUAUUAUGAAUCACCUUCAUUUAUGCUAAAUUGAUUUUAUUGCCAAGAUCUCUCCUUUCAACAGGAUCAUCUACCAUUUGGCCUCUUCCCUGUUCUGCAGUUGACCUUAGGUUAACUAAACCAUUCCAGCAUUCUAAGAUAGGCAAUUUGAUACAGGGUGAAAUCAAGGUCAGAAUAGUGUUUGAAGAUUGUGAGUUAUUUGUGUUUGCAUCUACUCUUAAGCUUCUGCAAGCAUUUCUUAUUGUGGUGGUGGUGGUGGUGGUGUUCAUUAACAUAAGCAUGAUUAACAUUGCUGUUACUUUGUCUUUGCAUUUAUAUUAAAUUAUCUUUUGUGAAAGAGCAGCAAGGAAAGAAGACCCCUUAGCUUGUUUUAGAUAAAGAUAAGCCUGAAUUUCUGACCUCACUUCCACUUCAAUUUUCUAACCACUACAUAGAGGUAUUUUUUGUUUUUUGUUGUUUUUGAGACAGAGUCUUGUUAUGUUGCCCAGAUUGGAGUGCAGUGGCACAAUCUUGGCUAAUUUUUGUAUUUUUGGUAGAGACAAAGUUUCACUGUGUUGGCCACGCUAGUCUUGAACUCCUGACCUUAAGUGAUCCUCUAACCUUGACCUCCCAAAGUGCUGGGAUUACAGGCUUGAGCUACCACCCCCAGCCAACUUCAUAGUUUUACUAGUUUGAUGUGGUGACCUACUAGUUCUUAAAAUAAUAUGUAGAGUUGGAGUUCAGGUUUAGCACUUGAUUGUUCAAAAUUGUAAUUUACUGUAUUCUUUGAAGGCAAGUAUAGGGGCGGAAACAAGCCUUUUCAGCACUUAGCCGUUUCUGUUGAUUAAAUUGUUAACACUCUUUUGUAAAAACCUUAUAAAGAUGAGUGUCUUAUUAAUAGUUUCCUAAAAUCCUUGCGAUUUUACUUCUUAGUUUGCCUCCAGACUUCUAUUAUUGUGAGGUAUUGAUAUAUUUCUUCUAAUUUUAAAUUUAAUUAGUAAGGCCUAAUACAGACCUUGCCAAAUUAAUUUUUUCUUGAGGAUAAUUUCGCUUCAAGAUUGAGACUACUCACAUAGUCAGUUUGAGUUCUUAGACCAAAUGCUGCCUAUUUAUCUAUGUAAACAUGUAUUCCUGCAUAAAUUAUUGAAUGGUAAUUUCUGAACCACCCUCCAACAGUAGGGCUAUUUAUUUACUUUAGGAUUUACAUUAUUAACAUUUAGAGCCUGCAGGGGGCUCCAAAAGGCAAACUUUAGUCUUGGAGCAGGGACUGAAUCUUUUUUCACAGCAACUCAAAAUGAGACACAUUUUGCAUUGGAACCCAGUAUACACACACAAAACGAAAGUUUACAAAACAAUACCUACCCAAUAUGCACCUGAUAUUUUCAUCCUAUUAGAUAAAAAUCUUGUCAGGUUCCCACUAUUUGGCUUUCAAAAUUACAGUUUGGAAAAUUAGCCUAUUGAGUUGCAUGAUGGAGCGCAUUUUAAAGUCAUUGUCUUCCUUGCUGUGACAUUGUAGAAACUAUUUUGAAUAUAAAAUGUUACUACUUCUGUUUUUCCUUUUUUUUUUUUUUUUACUUGAUGUUUUUUCUUGAAGAGUAUUUUGUAGUUUUUAAUUUUUAAAGUAGACAACUUCUCAGUGACUUUUUAAGCUUGCCUACGGUUUUAUAUUUUUGUCAUUACUUGUCUUGGGAAGGGAAUGGGAAUAUUGAUAUAUUGGUGCUACAUUUUAUGCAAUUCAAAUCACUGCAGUAAUUAUUUGUAUAUUUUUUAAAAAGCUGUGAAGUCCAUAAAACUACAGUUUUUUUUUUUGUUUGUUUGUUUUUGUUUUUUUUUGAGAUGGAGUCUUGCUCUGUGGCUCAGGCUGGAGUCAGUGGUGCAAUUUCAGCUCACUGCAACCUCCACCUCCCAGGUUCAAGCGAUUCUCUUGCCUCAGCCUCCCGUGUAGCUGGGACUACAGACACGUGCCACCACGCCGGCUAAUUUUUGUAUUUUUGUAGAGACGGGGUUUCACCAUAUUGGCCAGGCUGGUCUCCAACUCCUGAUCUCGUGAUCCACCCGCCACGGCCUCCCAAAGUGCUGGGAUUACAGGACGUGAGCCGCUGUGCCUGGCCCACAACUACAACUCUUUAAGGGCUAUAAAUCAGUAAGAGAUUAUUUGGCUUUGAAUUAAAUUUUGUACUUAGAGUUCACCUUAGCCAUCAACAAUUUAAAACGAACCAAUUUUGAUACCUUAAAAAAAAAAUGUAUAUUCUAACGUGCCACUGAAUUUCACCUUUUUCAAACAUAUCCCUAUAAGUUUAUAAGAAAUACAAGAAAUAGAUAAGCCCUAUAUAAAACAUAACUAACUGCCUUUGCCACUUUUCUUACUCUUGAGCAAGUGUGUCACUUGUCUCUUUACAUGUCUGACCUUUCCCAGUUUCUAAAGUGCGAAAAGAAAGACUGGGGACAUGUCCAUAAGAAUAUUCCCAUAUAUUCAGAAAUGCAAAGGAGAAAACCAUUAAGUCUGCAAAGUAGUGAAAUCAGAACUCAUCAUGGAGUUAUGAGUUACACAUUUCAGUAUUUCUACCCCCUUGUCUAUGUACUUUUCUUUUGGAAUUCCUUAAGCAAUAAAACCUGACUUUCUUAUAAUACCAUGGUACCAAACAAAUACUUUGAAUUAACCUGAUUGAUAAUUUUAAACUCACUUUGAAGAAAUAACCCAUGGACUGAAUGCAGACUGUGACCCAAUUAGUGGAGUGAGUCGUUUGCCUACAUUCUGUGCUUACCAUAGCCUUUGAGGAAGGUGUUCUUACCACCUUAUUCAGCUUUGAAAACAGUUUCAGAGAGAUAAAUUUGCCUUCCUGAGGUCACACAACCUGUAGUGGUGGAGUCAGCAUUUGAACACAGGUCUGACCCCAGAGCUCAAGUUCUUAACCUCUGUGCUCCACUGCUUCUAAUAAAACGGAAUAUUGCCAAGUCUGUAGAAUGUCACUGGUCUUUUUUAUUAGUGUCUGUCAAACGCUGCCAUUCUGGCUCCAUCUUUCUCAUCUGCCUUGGAUUGGAACCAGACUCCCUUGGGGAGCAACACUGUGUUUUUAGGUAGCAUAUUGGAAACCACAGAGAACAGCUUAUUUAUGUUAAUUUGUGGGGGAACAUUUUAAAGUAGUAAUUUUCUGUGACCUCCACAAUAUACAGCCAGCCAAUUUGAUACAUUCACAAUAAUUUAGCUAUAUCAUAACCUGUGUUAUUUUGUUUUCAAUUUUAAAUGUUUUCCCUGUGACAAAUUGAAUUAUGAUAAUCUUGCAGUAUUUCUACCUUGAUUCUUUGUGUUUUUCAAUAUUUCUCGUGUCUUUUUCCUUUUAACCUUCACAUUAAAAAAAAUCAUGUUGUACAUAAAUAAGUUUACAUGCUUUAAUUUAAUGAUGUUUUCAUAUAGAACACUGAAUUUUCUAGACAAAAAGUGCUGAGAAUAGCAGUGUUCGUUUAUAGUUAUGUUUAUGCCAUAGAUUUUUAAAAAGAAUUAUUCUCAGUGAAUAAAACUGAUGUUCAUGUCAUUGUUCUGUUUGGGGAGUUGUUUUUUUACAUGUUCACAUUUCUUAGAUCAUUCCAAAUCUUUACGAAUUUCUAAUUUUUGCUAUUUGGAGAACUUUGAAAUGUUUAUUGACUUGUAGUUGUUAUGGUAAUAGUCAUCUGAAAAAAGAAAAAGAUGUAAGUGGCCUUGAAGAAGAGGGGACUUUUUGUUCUUUGACAGCCCAUGAGAAAACUAGGCAUGUUCUAAGAGGUUCAAUGAAAAAGUCUUAUAUUCUUGACAAACUUUGUAGCAUUAGGGAAUAUUUCCAAUAUGAUAAUUGUAUCAGGAAAAUUGCUGAGACAAAAGAGAAUGAUUAUAACAUUCUGCUGGCCACACAGCACAUGUUUUAAGACAGGUAUUUCACCCUAAAAAUAAAAUUGGAUUAUGUCGUGUGUUUUUUUUCCUCUGUGAAGAUUCCAGAAGUAUGUCAUGUGUGUUUUUUAAAACUUUUACUGUGAUCGAAUGCUUAAAAAAAUGCAUGUUAUUAAAGAGUUUUUCAGCAUAUUUUGCUUUGAAAUGUUAAAUAUAGGGAAGGAAGAAUUUUAUACGUAGAAACUUAGUUUCUUAGAAUUAUAACUUUAUUUUCUGAAAAUUUUCUACCAAUAACUUUAAAGCACUUUUCUCCCUGAUUUAUUUAAAUCCUAAUAAAUUAUACAUUUCUGCACUC